rnacentral:rRNA from 1 species
GACGAACGCUGGCGGCGUGCUUAACACAUGCAAGUCGAACGGAAAGGCCCUGCUUUUGUGGGGUGCUCGAGUGGCGAACGGGUGAGUAACACGUGAGUAACCUGCCCUUGACUUUGGGAUAACUUCAGGAAACUGGGGCUAAUACCGGAUAGGAGCUCCUGCUGCAUGGUGGGGGUUGGAAAGUUUCGGCGGUUGGGGAUGGACUCGCGGCUUAUCAGCUUGUUGGUGGGGUAGUGGCUUACCAAGGCUUUGACGGGUAGCCGGCCUGAGAGGGUGACCGGCCACAUUGGGACUGAGAUACGGCCCAGACUCCUACGGGAGGCAGCAGUGGGGAAUAUUGCACAAUGGGCGGAAGCCUGAUGCAGCAACGCCGCGUGCGGGAUGACGGCCUUCGGGUUGUAAACCGCUUUCGCCUGUGACGAAGCGUGAGUGACGGUAAUGGGUAAAGAAGCACCGGCUAACUACGUGCCAGCAGCCGCGGUGAUACGUAGGGUGCGAGCGUUGUCCGGAUUUAUUGGGCGUAAAGGGCUCGUAGGUGGUUGAUCGCGUCGGAAGUGUAAUCUUGGGGCUUAACCCUGAGCGUGCUUUCGAUACGGGUUGACUUGAGGAAGGUAGGGGAGAAUGGAAUUCCUGGUGGAGCGGUGGAAUGCGCAGAUAUCAGGAGGAACACCAGUGGCGAAGGCGGUUCUCUGGGCCUUUCCUGACGCUGAGGAGCGAAAGCGUGGGGAGCGAACAGGCUUAGAUACCCUGGUAGUCCACGCUGUAAACGGUGGGUACUAGGUGUGGGGUCCAUUCCACGGGUUCCGUGCCGUAGCUAACGCUUUAAGUACCCCGCCUGGGGAGUACGGCCGCAAGGCUAAAACUCAAAGGAAUUGACGGGGCCCCGCACUAGCGGCGGAGCAUGCGGAUUAAUUCGAUGCAACGCGUAGAACCUUACCUGGGUUUGACAUGGAUCGGGAGCGCUCAGAGAUGGGUGUGCCUCUUUUGGGGUCGGUUCACAGGUGGUGCAUGGCUGUCGUCAGCUCGUGUCGUGAGAUGUUGGGUUAAGUCCCGCAACGAGCGCAACCCUUAUUCACUGUUGCCAGCACGUUAUGGUGGGGACUCAGUGGAGACCGCCGGGGUCAACUCGGAGGAAGGUGGGGAUGACGUCAAGUCAUCAUGCCCCUUAUGUCCAGGGCUUCACGCAUGCUACAAUGGCUGGUACAGGGAGUGGCGAGCCUGUGAGGGUGAGCGAAUCUCGGAAAGCCGGUCUCAGUUCGGAUUGGGGUCUGCAACUCGACCUCAUGAAGUCGGAGUCGCUAGUAAUCGCAGAUCAGCAACGCUGCGGUGAAUACGUUCCCGGGGCU